UACGUAGGGUGCAAGCGUUGUCCGGAAUUACUGGGCGUAAAGAGCGCGCAGGCGGUCGUUCAAGUCGCGUGUGAAAGCCCCCGGCUCAACUGGGGAGGGUCACGCGAUACUGAUCGACUCGAAGGCAGGAGAGGGAAGUGGGAUUCCCGGUGUAGUGGUGAAAUGCGUAGAUAUCGGGAGGAACACCAGUGGCGAAGGCGACUUCCUGGCCUGUUCUUGACGCUGAGGCGCGAAAGCUAGGGGAGCAAACGGG
rnacentral:rRNA from 1 species